GAGUUGGGCGUCCCAUAUCUCCAUGCCCAAGAGAAGCUUAGGCAUCCCUUUGCUUAUUGAUUUUUUAGUCUUUGAUUGCUUCAUAAUCAAGAGAAGACAAGCAAGAGAAGAAGAGAAGAAAAGAUCAAAGAAAGGAUUAAAGAAUUGAUCGCGAUCCAGGCUUCAUUCAGAUUCACAGGCUGAUUGUUCUUAGAGAAGAAGGAUCAACACCAAAGAAGACUGUUUCAAACUGAUCCUGAGUGGAUACCCAUAG
rnacentral:lncRNA from 1 species